GUUGAUAUUCCUGUACUGCAGUAUAACAGAACUGUGGGGACACGUAAGGAGAGCGGGAGCCGGGAAUGGAAAGCCCGGUACAAGCGAGGUACCAGUAUGGUAGGAAAAACCGCCAUGCAAUGGGAAGACGUGAUGUGGAGUGAAAUAUAGUAACGAAGCCCGUGAGCCAUGCGUCAAGAAAAGCCGCUAUUGUUUAUAUUGUACCCGUACCGUAAACCGACACAGGUGGAUGAGGAGAGAAUCCUAAGGCCGGCGGAAGAAGUAUUGCCAAGGAACUCGGCAAAAUGGCCCCGUAACUUAGGGAGAAGGGGUGCCUGCGAGAGCAGGCCGCAGAGAAUAGGCUCAAGCAACUGUUUAGCAAAAACACAGGUCUAUGCGAAACCGAAAGGUGAGGUAUAUGGGCUGACGCCUGCCCGGUGCUGGAAGGUUAAGAGGAGAGGUUAGACGCAAGUCGAAGCUUUGAAUUUAAGCCCCAGUAAACGGCGGCCGUAACAAUAACGGUCCUAAGGUAGCGAAAUUCCUUGUCGGGUAAGUUCCGACCGCACGAAAGGCGUAAUGAUUUGAGCGCUGUCUCGGCAAUACAUCCGGUGAAAUUGAAGUGCCAGUGAAGAUGCUGGCUACCCGCGCCAGGACGGAAAGACCCCAUGGAGCUUUACUCCAGUUUGGCACUGGGGUCCGGUGUUGCAUGUACAGGAUAGGUGGGAGGCUGAGAGAUAGUGGCGUCAGUUGCUAUGGAGCCGCUGUUGGGAUACCACCCUUGUGAUAAUGGGCUUCUAACCAGCCGCCGUAAUCCGGCGGUGGGACAAUGCCAGGCGGGGAGUUUGACUGGGGCGGUCGCCUCCGAAAGGGUAUCGGAGGCGCCCAAAGGUUCCCUCAGAAUGGACGGAAACCAUUCGGAGAGUGCAAAGGCAGAAGGGAGCUUGACUGCGACACCGACGGGUGGAGCAGGUACGAAAGUAGGGCUUAGUGAUCCGGUGGUAUUAAGUGGGAAUGCCAUCGCUCAACGGAUAAAAGCUACCCUGGGGAUAACAGGCUUAUCACUCCCAAGAGUUCACAUCGACGGAGUGGUUUGGCACCUCGAUGUCGGCUCAUCGCAUCCUGGGGCUGUAGUAGGUCCCAAGGGUUGGGCUGUUCGCCCAUUAAAGCGGUACGCGAGCUGGGUUCAGAACGUCGUGAGACAGUUCGGUCCCUAUCCGGCGUGGGCGUAGGAUAUCUGAGAGGAGCUGUCCUUAGUACGAGAGGACCGGGAUGGACGGACCGCUGGUGGACCGGUUGGCUUGCCAAAGCCAUGGCCGGGUAGCCAAGUCCGGAAGGGAUAAACGCUGAAGGCAUCUAAGCGUGAAGCCCCCCUCAAGAUGAGAUAUCCCAUUCUUUAAGAAGUAAACCCCCUCGAAGACGACGAGGUAGAUAGGGCAGAGGUGGAAGUGUGGUAACACAUGGAGCUGACUGUUACUAAUCGGGUGAGGGCUUGACCAG
rnacentral:rRNA from 1 species